GACAGAGGGUGCAGACGUUGUUCGGAAUCGCUGGGCGUAAAGCGUGCGUAGGCGGUCUUGUAAGUCGGAUGUGAAAGCCCUGGGCUCAACCUAGGAAGUGCACUCGAUACUGCGAGACUUGAGUACUGGAGAGGUUGGUGGAAUUCUCGGUGUAGAGGUGAAAUUCGUAGAUAUCGGGAAGAACAUCGGUGGCGAAGGCGGCCAACUGGACAGAUACUGACGCUGAGGCACGAAAGCGUGGGGAGCAAACAGG
rnacentral:rRNA from 1 species